GGAUUCUGGGAAUUAUACCUGUGAGGUACAAACUCCAUCCGGCAGUGUGAGGAAGAGGAGCAGAAGGUCAUAUAUUUGGGUACAGGGAAUCAGAAACACUGUAUUUAACAGUAUUACUCUAGAAACCAUAAACAUUGCAAAUACCAAUGAGACCACAGCAACAAAUCACCCAUUUCCAUUCAUAAGGGUCAUUGUGAGCUUGCUGUCCAUUUGUCUCAUUACUGCUGCCCUGGUCUUCUGUCACAGAGACAGAAUAUGUUUGCUGCUUUGCAGCCGUCAUCGCAGAGCAGUCUCUGAGUCUUCAAAUACAGGAAAUGACGAAUAUGAGUUAUACUACAAUCUGAAUCACUAAAAGGUACAAUGACCAGAUGACCCAUCAGCCACGGAGAACUGCCAAUUUGUGAGGACAUCGUUGAGAUAGUUGGGCACCACACGUGAUCUGUAUCAUCAUCGACUGGGAAACUCAGUCUGAUGUUACUGUUACAAGUGACUGUUCCAUAUAUAGAGUUUUUGGUUGUCAGUAAAAGUAAAUAUUUGACUCAUAAACAAAUAACAUGUUAUUCUGUAAUAAUAUGGCACCCUUAGUAUUUCUUUCAUUUUUGGCAAAUAUUCUUUUGAAUAAAACAUUCUUAAUUAUAAAUGUAAUUUUUCCAAGAAUUGUAGCACUUUUGCUUGUUGGUUAUGUCAUAUUGUGUUUUAUUAAUUUUAACUGGGCCUUAUG